GUAGGGUGCGAGCGUUAAUCGGAAUUACUGGGCGUAAAGCGUGCGCAGGCGGUUGGUUAAGUCUGAUGUGAAAGCCCCGGGCUCAACCUGGGAAUGGCAUUGGAAACUGGCUAGCUGGAGUGUGGCARAGGGGGGUGGAAUUCCGCGUGUAGCAGUGAAAUGCGUAGAGAUGCGGAGGAACACCGAUGGCGAAGGCAGCCCCCUGGGCCAACACUGACSCUCAGGCACGAAAGCGUGGGGAGCAAACAGGAUUAGAUACCCUGGUAGUCCACGCCCUAAACGAUGGCAACUGGGUGUUGGGGAAGCGAUUCCUUGGUACCGUAGCUAACGCGUGAAGUUGCCCGCCUGGGGAGUACGGCCGCAAGGUUA
rnacentral:rRNA from 1 species